rnacentral:rRNA from 1 species
UACGGAGGAUGCGAGCGUUAUCCGGAUUUAUUGGGUUUAAAGGGAGCGCAGGCGGUCUGUUAAGUCAGCGGUAAAAGCCCGGGGCUCAACCCCGGCGAGCCGUUGAAACUGGCGGCCUCGAGUGGGCGAGAAGUAUGCGGAAUGCGUGGUGUAGCGGUGAAAUGCUUAGAUAUCACGAAGAACUCCGAUUGCGAAGGCAGCAUGCCGGCUCCACACUGACGCUGAGGCACGAAAGCGUGGGUAUCGAACAGG